GCCGACCUGCAAAGUUUGUGAUGGAGUGGAACACCACUGCGAACCGAUAUUUCAAAACAGGGUGCCUAACUCGACAAUUGGUCUGGUGUGCUGAUCCCCAGUCGGAUCGGCCUAAAGGACCACGGAAGGUGCCCAACUUGGUGAAUCGGGUUCACAGCACCCCCGCUCCACACGGCCACGCGGGUCGGUA
rnacentral:other from 1 species